UCAGACCUGCAAAAUAAAAUACAAAGAUUUUCAAAUGCCAAUGUCGGAGUUUUAUUGAACGACAAGGUAUAUUUUAUGAGGGGAAUAAAACCAUCAUACGAGGCAAUGAAGCGCGAUCGGCGGUUUUAACAAUAACGUGAAGCCAUUACUACACAAUACGACAGCUAUACAUCACCCAUUAAAUGUUAUUUACUGCUCCCCCAAACUCAAUACUUUUACAGUAGAUUCUAACAUUCUGUGCAGAUUUAAGUUAGAACAUGGACGAGUUAACAACUAUAUAGAUAGACCUCUAUUAUUAACACUGACAAGACUGGUAUGUUGUUAAGAAGAUAUAGCGUCUCAGUUGCUAUUUUCACAGGCUGAGAACAUGGGACGUAGUAUACUUCUAGGAUACCACCAUGAGCGACUUGUCAAGGAUAUAGUGCAGAAAAUCUUUACACAGAUCACAUCGGAAAUGGAACGAAAGAAAAAUUUGGGAUUUCUUUUAACACGUCGAAUACUGCUUGGAUGUUGGGGGCCUGGUCGGUGUGGAUCAAAAUGCAGAAACUUUCAGUGAGUAAAAAUGAAAUUAAUUUUAAAACUAAAAUAUAUUAGAACGCGUGUGACAUCUUAAAUUAUAGUAAGUUAAAAAUAUUCCAGGAUCCGAGACUAAAAUCUAUUUCAUUUGUGACAUGAUUAUAUUAUAAAAUAUAAUAUACAGCGACAAUAUUUUCUUUUUUUUUAAGAAAAAAAACCCCAAAAAUAAAACCAAACUAAUUGUUACCUUGU